UGGAUAGCUCAGUUGGUAGAGCAAUAGACUGAAGAUCUAUGUGUCGCUGGUUCGAUUCCUGCUCCA
rnacentral:tRNA from 1 species